rnacentral:rRNA from 1 species
UGGUGGAGUGAUUUGUCUGGUUUAGUCCGAUAACGAACGAGACCACAAUCUAUUAAAUAGUAGAGCCGACAAGGGGGCUUCCGGGGCGGUCGGGUUCGCUCGGCCAUUUCGGGGGCUCUCAUCAAAUUGUAGGCUAAAUAUACUUCUUAGAGAGACUCUUGAUGAUAAAAAAUCAAUGGAAGAAUGUGGCAAAAACA